GAAAUGCGAUAAGUAAUGUGAAUUGCAGAAUUCCGUGAAUCAUCGAAUCUUUGAACGCACAUUGCGCCCUCUGGUAUUCCGGGGGGCAUGCCUGUCCGAGCGUCAUUGCGAACCCCUCAAGCACGGCUUGUGUGAUGGGCCCUCCCGCGUCUUGGUCGUCAAGACGGGCCCGAAAUGCAGUGGCGGCUUCGCGGUUAUCCGAUCAGCCAGAGCGUAUGGGGACUUUCUCUCUGUCACACGCCCGCGGCGCGGACCGACGCCUGUCGACCUUUAUUCAUCUUUUUCUCGGUUGACCUCGGAUCAGGUGGGGAUACCCGCUGAACUUAAGC
rnacentral:misc_RNA from 1 species